UACAGAGGUCUCAAGCGUUGCUCGGAAUUACUGGGCGUAAAGGGCGCGUAGGCGGACAGUUUAGUCAGAGGUGAAAGCCCAGGGCUCAACCUUGGAAUUGCCUUUGAUACUGGCUGUCUUGAGUUCGGGAGAGGUGAGUGGAAUGCCGAGUGUAGAGGUGAAAUUCGUAGAUAUUCGGCGGAACACCAGUGGCGAAGGCGACUCACUGGCCCCGAUACUGACGCUGAGGCGCGAAAGCGUGGGGAGCAAACAGG
rnacentral:rRNA from 1 species